rnacentral:lncRNA from 1 species
CAAAUUAGCAAAGCUCACAGCAUGGUGGGGGUCUUAGAGAGUGGUCUUCCUAUAGUGAAGAGGUGUGUGCCUUUGUAGCAGUGAUCUCAACAGGUGUCAAGUACCGCACCAAAGGACUGUUCUGGCAAUUUGUGGGAGUGGGUUUUAAUGUUGUGAUGAUUGAGGGUCUCCACUGGCGUUUUGCAAGUGGGGACAUUUAAAAAUCUUGUGGGACAUUUUGGUGAAUGAAAGUCCUGUGUCUUUAGCUUAACUCUGUUUUAUGUAUAAGCAUAAAUUAUUUUUAGCAUGAUUCUAGUACACCCUGAGUUUUCCAAGAAUACAACCACUUUGCAAAUUGAGGGAAGAUAGUCCUUUGUUCAGAACAUUAUAGAGACUGGCUGCGGAUGGUUAUGGAGGCAAGCACCUCCUGCCCAUGGCAGGUAAGAAGUG